rnacentral:rRNA from 1 species
GUUAGGAAUAUUGGACAAUGGGCGAAAGCCUGAUCCAACCAUGCCGCGUGAACGAUGAAGGCCUUCGGGUUGUAAAGUUCUUUAGCCGAUGAUUAUAAUGACUGUAGUCGGAAAAUAAGCCCCGGCUAACUUCGUGCCAGCAGCCGCGGUAAUACGAAGGGGGCGAGCGUUAUUCGGAAUCACUGGGCGUAAAGCGUGCGUAGGCGGUUUUGUAAGUUAGGAGUGAAAGCCCAGGGCUCAACCUUGGAAUUGCUCUUAAAACUGCAAGGCUCGAAUGUCGGAGAGGAUAGCGGAAUUUCCAGUGUAGCAGUGAAAUGCGUAGAUAUUGGAAGGAACACCAGUGGCGUAAGCGGCUAUCUGGACGAGUAUUGACGCUGAGGCACGAAAGCGUGGGGAUCAAACAGGAUUAGAUACCCGAGUAGUCC